UNCCACGUGUAGCAGUGAAAUGCGUAGAGAUGUGGAGGAAUACCGAUGGCGAAGGCAGCCCCCUGGGAUAACACUGACGUUCAUGCUCGAAAGCGUGGGUAGCAAACAGGAUUAGAUACCCUGGUAGUNCACGCCCUAAACGAUGUCAAUUAGCUGUUGGGCAACUUGAUUGCUUAGUAGCGUAGCUAACGCGUGAAAUUGACCGCCUGGGGAGUACGGUCGCAAGAUUAAAACUCAAAGGAAUUGACGGGGACCCGCACAAGCGGUGGAUGAUGUGGAUUAAUUCGAUGCAACGCGAAGAACCUUACCUGGUCUUGACAUGUACGGAAUCUUCCAGAGACGGGAGAGUGCCUUCGGGAACCGUAACACAGGUGCUGCAUGGCUGUCGUCAGCUCGUGUCGUGAGAUGUUGGGUUAAGUCCCGCAACGAGCGCAACCCUUGUCAUUAGUUGCCAUCAUUCAGUUGGGCACUCUAAUGAGACUGCCGGUGACAAACCGGAGGAAGGUGGGGAUGACGUCAAGUCCUCAUGGCCCUUAUGACCAGGGCUUCACACGUCAUACAAUGGUCGGUACAGAGGGUAGCCAAGCCGCGAGGUGGAGCCAAUCCCAGAAAACCGAUNGUAGUCCGGAUUGCACUCUGCAACUCGAGUGCAUGAAGUCGGAAUCGCUAGUAAUCGCAGGUCAGCAUACUGCGGUGAAUACGUUCCCGGGUCUUGUACACACCGCCCGUCACACCAUGGAAGUGGGGGAUACCAGAAGUAGGUAGGCUAACCGCA
rnacentral:rRNA from 1 species